AUUUAUUCAUGUAACUAUUUCCUUUAUUUAAGCGUGUUUUCUGUAUAAGUGGUGGACGAGGUGGUGGCGGGGUACAAUAUGCAUGGCAGAAAUCCCUCGGAAACUACAUUGCCACUUCAAGCAAUGACAAUUUAGUAAAGAUUUAUGACAGGCAUGGAGACCUUAAACAAGAAAUACAACUGCAAGGACCGUGUACAGGACUUGGCUGGGAUAAG